rnacentral:rRNA from 1 species
GAUGAACGCUGGCGGCGUGCCUAAUACAUGCAAGUCGAGCGAACAGACGAGGAGCUUGCUCCUCUGACGUUAGCGGCGGACGGGUGAGUAACACGUGGAUAACCUACCUAUAAGACUGGGAUAACUUCGGGAAACCGGAGCUAAUACCGGAUAAUAUAUUGAACCGCAUGGUUCAAUAGUGAAAGACGGUUUUGCUGUCACUUAUAGAUGGAUCCGCGCCGCAUUAGCUAGUUGGUAAGGUAACGGCUUACCAAGGCGACGAUGCGUAGCCGACCUGAGAGGGUGAUCGGCCACACUGGAACUGAGACACGGUCCAGACUCCUACGGGAGGCAGCAGUAGGGAAUCUUCCGCAAUGGGCGAAAGCCUGACGGAGCAACGCCGCGUGAGUGAUGAAGGUCUUCGGAUCGUAAAACUCUGUUAUUAGGGAAGAACAAAUGUGUAAGGAACUAUGCACGUCUUGACGGUACCUAAUCAGAAAGCCACGGCUAACUACGUG